rnacentral:rRNA from 1 species
UACGAAGGGGGCUAGCGUUGCUCGGAAUCACUGGGCGUAAAGCGCACGUAGGCGGCUUCUUAAGUCAGGGGUGAAAUCCUGGAGCUCAACUCCAGAACUGCCUUUGAUACUGAGGAUCUUGAGUACGGGAGAGGUGAGUGGAACUGCGAGUGUAGAGGUGAAAUUCGUAGAUAUUCGCAAGAACACCAGUGGCGAAGGCGGCUCACUGGCCCGUAACUGACGCUGAGGCACGAAAGCGUGGGGAGCAAACAGG